rnacentral:lncRNA from 1 species
GCAGAGGGUCACCAACAGGUCUUCAAUGUAGCGAGAAAUUCCCGCACCCGGAGGCGUCCUUCAGCUGGCCCCUAAACAAAUAUAUACUAGUCCAGUGAUAAUGAACGCCAUACUAAUUUCCAAAUUGUACACAAGAAACUAAAAUUAAAAUAAAUACAAGACUAACAAAGGCCAGAGGCUCCUGACUUGGGACAGGCGCAAAAAUGCGGCGGGGUUAAACAUGUUUGUGAGAUCUCAACCCUCCCCC